AUGAGCAAACGGAAAUGGACAGGAAAUCCCUGUUGCUCUUUCUGCAAACAGAUAGAAACGGUGCAACAUCUGUUCUUUACCUGUCCUGUGGCCAGAAUUGUUUGGCGAUCUAUUGGAGUAGUUCUUGACACUGAUAGAUGUCCGUCGAACUAUUGGCAAUACUUUGUGUGGUGUCACAAAUUCCUUCCUGGGAAGCAAAAGUUUUAUACAGUAGGCUUAGCAGCCGUAUGCUGGGCCAUUUGGCUGGCACGUAAUCGAGCUACUUUUGAAAAGAAACAAAUUAAGACUCCCUUUGAGAUUGUGUUUUCUCUCUGCUCUUUUCUACUCUACUGGACAGGGCUACAACAAGGAGAGGACGCCAAGGAGCUUCGCACUGGAGCUGAGAUGAUCAGGACUGGCACAAUGCAGCUGAUGAAGAUGUGUGGUACUGUCAAGCAACCAAUCCAAGGUGCCUGA
rnacentral:rRNA from 1 species